rnacentral:rRNA from 1 species
UAGGGAAUCUUCGGCAAUGGGGCAACCCUGACCGAGCAACGCCGCGUGAGUGAAGAAGGUUUUCGGAUCGUAAAGCUCUGUUGUAAGAGAAGAACGUGUGUGAGAGUGGAAAGUUCACACAGUGACGGUAACUUACCAGAAAGUCACGGCUAACUACGUGCCAG